UUGAGUUCUCGUUCCGGCAAACUUGUCCGAGCUUUUUCCGUCUCUAGGAAGCCCAGGGUGUUUGCUGGGAGUGGGAACGGAAGAAGGAAUUUUUCCAGCACUCAACACAAGGUGGCGCCAGACACCCGUGGACGUCAUGAGGUCCCCCUCCUGGUGGGCUCCAGAAGCUGCGAAAAUUCCCUGAAAUUCGAGUCAGGCCGGAUUCAAGAGAAACGGAGAGAGAUGGGAAGGAGUAACACAGUGGCCAGACAGACGGAAUCUAAGAAACCUCCGAAGAGAAAAAGAAAGGAACGGGCGGCGGAAUCCCCGCGGGACCGGAGACAGGGCCCCAGCAGCAUCUGAGCUCACAAACUCUACUUUCUAUGAAGCACCAAAGUCAUACUUGGGAUGGUCCAUUGAAGAAUGACUAACGUAGGGUCAUCGUCAUGCUUGCUACCCACAGUGGAACAUGACAGCAAGAAGAGAAAGAAUACAGUGAGUCACAGAAAGGAAAGAAAGACUGUUAGCACCUAAGCCUCCAUCCCCAUGAAGCAAUUAUGGAUGAAAGACAAGGAAAAGAAAUUAUAUUUUAAAGGAGGGUCUAUACACUGAGCAGUCUUAAUAUAAUUUUCUUUGCAUGUAUAUUUCUGCUUUAGACUGUUACUUGGUGAUAUAAACUUGAAUGAAAAGGCUUUCUUAGUGUUAUAUUGCAGAGUGCAACCAUCACCAACUGUAAAAUUAUAGAUGUAGACAUGAAAUGUUUAAUCCAAAUAUAUAAAUUAAACACUUACAAACUCAAUAGGGCUUUUUGAAGAGUUGUCAAGGAUUUCCACUUGGUAAUUUUUCAUGGUUUAAUUGGAUUUUGCAAGGAUGGCUGGAAGUUGCUUUUUAAUAGUUUGGAGGAUUAUCUAUAACUACACGAAUAUUGAAGUUCAGCGAGGCUGUGCUGGAGUCAAGGCUGAGAGGGGGAGACGGCGGUUGUGAUGUACAGCUCCAGAAUUGGUUUGGGAUUUAAUGGACACUAGUGAUCUAUUUCUCACACAGCCCUGUGAGAAAUGCAUAUACUCAGAGAAAUGGGCCACCCUAAAAAUCUAGGGAGGAACAGAAUAAAAAUUAAAAGCAUUAUGGAAAGGAGUGAAUG
rnacentral:lncRNA from 1 species